GUUGAACUUACCAAAUGCACAGUCAUGUCCUGGAUGAUAGUUCUGUCUGUGAAGGACCAGGUGUACUUUGGUUAUCUACUCACCCACCGGAAGACAUCUCAGAUGCUUCUGAAUUUUUACAAUUACAAGUCACUGAGGAACUGUGGAAGAAAUGUGGGCAGAUGCUUCAAACUCCUGAUGCUUUGACCCCCCCAGUCAUGAUGGACUCUGUAACCCGGAACUGUGAGCUGUAAUAAACCCUUUCUGCCUCA